GCAAGAUACCACGGGCGCACGGCGGAUGCCUUGGCACAGGGAGCCGAUGAAGGACGCGGCAAGCUGCGAUAAUCCCCGGCGAGGAGCACACAUCCUUCGACCCGGGGGUCUCCGAAUGGGCGAACCCAUGCACAGCAGUGUGCAUAUCCCCCCGCUGAACACAUAGGCGGGGGGAGGACAACCCGGGGAACUGAAACAUCUAAGUACCCGGAGGAGAGGAAAUCAAUCUCGAGACUCCCCGAGUAGCGGCGAGCGAAAGGGGACCGAUGGCCAAACCGUCGAGCGGGCAUACCCGGCAGGGGUUCCGCCGACGGGGUUGAAGGGCCGCGCAUCCGGGGGCUGCCGCCCCCGGGCGCAGGUCCGGCUGGGGAGCGGAACGGCAUGGGAGGGCCGGCCGCAGCGGGUGACAGCCCCGUACGCGAACCCAGACCGGACGGCGCGACGCGGUCCCUGAGUAGGGCCGGGCACGUGAAACCCGGUCCGAACCUGGGUGGACCACCAUCCAAGCCUGAGUACUACCCUGUGACCGAUAGCGCACCAGUACCGUGAGGGAAAGGUGAAAAGCACCCCGGGAGGGGAGUGAAACAGUACCUGAAACCGUGCGCCCACGAGCAGUCGGAGCAACUUUCAGUUGUGACGGCGUGCCUUUUGUAGAAUGAGCCAGCGAGUCGCUGGCGCGGGGCGAGGUUAACCGAAAGGGAGCCGAAGCGAAAGCGAGCCUUAACAGGGCGACUUGAGUCCCGCGCCGCGGACGCGAAGCCGGGUGAGCUAUCCGUGGGCAGGCUGAAGCGGGGGUAAGACCCCGUGGAGGGCCGAACGCACGUCGGUUGAAAACGGCGGCGAUGACCUGCGGAUAGGGGUGAAAGGCCAAUCAAACCCGGAGAUAUCUCGUUCUCCCCGAAAUAGCUUUAGGGCUAGCGUCGCGCGUUCACCGCCGGAGGUAGAGCACCGGAUGGACGAGGGGGCUUCGCCGCCUACCGAAUCCAACCGAACUCCGAAUGCCGGCGGCCCAGAGCGCGGCAGUCAGAGCAUGUGGGCUAAGCUGUGUGCUCGAGAGGGAAACAGCCCGGACCGCCCGCUAAGGUCCCCAAGUUCCAGCCGAGUGGCAAAGGAUGUGCGUCCGCCCAGACAACCAGGAUGUUGGCUUAGAAGCAGCCAUCCAUUCAAAGAGUGCGUAACAGCUCACUGGUCGAGUGGACAUGCGCCGACAAUACACGGGGCUAAGCUGGACACCGAAGCGGCGGGAUUUUAAUUCAUUAGAAUCGGUAGGGGAGCUUCCCAUGGGCGGAGAAGCCGGAGGGCGACCGACGGUGGAGCGCAUGGGAGUGAGAAUGCUGGCAUGAGUAGCGAGAGACGAGAGAGUAACUCGUCCGCCGUGAACCCGAGGUUUCCUGGGCAAGGCUAAUCCUCCCAGGGUCAGUCGGGGGCUAAGGCGAGGCCGGAAGGCGUAGCCGACGCGCAGCAGGCAGACAUUCCUGCACCGCGCACGCGGCGCUACGACCGACGGGGCGACGGAUGGGGGUGGCUCGGCGGGGUUCUGGACGUCCCCGUGAUGGAGCGCGGCCCGCGGACCAGGGAAAUCCGGUCCGCAGAAGGGCGAGGCUCCGGACGAAGCACUUAAGCGAAGCGAGUGAGCCCGAGGUCCCUAGAAAAACCCCUAGGCAGGCGCGUGCGCGCCCGUACCGCAAACCGACACAGGUGGGUGGGUAGAACAUACCGAGGCGAUCGGGUCAACCAUGGUCAAGGAACUCGGCACAAUGGCCCCGUAACUUCGGGAGAAGGGGUGCCCGCGCGUACGUGAACCGGCUCGCCCGGGGAGCGGAGGCGGGCCGCAGUGGAGAGGCCCAAGCGACUGUUUACCAAAAACACAGGACUCUGCAGAAGCCGCAAGGCGACGUAUAGGGUCUGACGCCUGCCCGGUGCCGGAAGGUCACGCGGAGGAGUUAGCCGAUUCGGCGAAGCCCCGAAGCCAAGCCCCGGUAAACGGCGGCCGUAACUAUAACGGUCCUAAGGUAGCGAAAUUCCUUGUCGGGU
rnacentral:rRNA from 1 species